rnacentral:lncRNA from 1 species
CGUCACAUACAAUAUGAAAACUUGACGUUCGUGACGUUACAUACCAAUUAAUGACGUCAUUCUAAAAAUUGACCUAUUUUGAGGAAAUUUUUUCUUAAGCAAAAAAAAACCCCAAAAAACUGACUUUAUGUAAAAAAAAAAAAAAAAAAAAAAAAAAAAGGUAUGCGAUACGGGGUAUGCGAUACGGGUUUAGCUAUGCGAUACGGGGUAUGUGAUACAGGGAAGGGGAUACAGACUGGAAAAACGCACCUUUAUUAGAUAUACAAAAUAGCUGUAUUUUGUACUAAAUAUAUGAUAAAUAUAUAUAUAUGUAUAGCGUCCCGAAUCGAAAACGUUCAAAACGUAAGAAAAUUGUUCAGUGGACAAACUUG